rnacentral:rRNA from 1 species
UACGGAGGAUGCAAGCGUUAUCCGGAAUGAUUGGGCGUAAAGCGUCCGCAGGUGGCUGUGUAAGUCUGCUGUCAAAGAGCAAAGCUCAACUUUGUAAAGGCAGUGGAAACUACACGGCUAGAGUGCGUUCGGGGCAGAGGGAAUUCCUGGUGUAGCGGUGAAAUGCGUAGAGAUCAGGAAGAACACCGGUGGCGAAGGCGGAUCUCUGGGCCUUGCCUGACGCUUAGGCGCGAAAGCUAGGGGAGCGAACAGG